AUUGAACCACCAAAAAAAGUUAAAGAGACAAAAACCCUAACCUCUCUUUCUCAAUUCGCAACACACAGAAGAAACCUGUUUUGAUUUGUUUUAGGCGACUUAGGGAUGGUAACAAGUGUAAAGUUUGAAACGACUAUGGCAGUUUAAUGUUGAUGUGAGGAGAUGGGAUUUUACGAGGAAAGGUUGAAGAAAUGAUUGCAAUCGGCUUAAAUGACUGCAUUACUUGUUUGUUCGUGUAUGAUAAGUGUCACAUAUGUCUUUGGUUUUGCCCAUAGUGAUGCGUGGCUAUUUUAUGUCGGAUUUUAAUUUGGUGCCAAAGUUGGUUCUUAACGCCAAACAAUCUUUGAGGAAUGGCGCCGCGGGAACGAAGCGCUUGGAGCCUUGGGGAACUUUAGCAAAACUAGGGUUUUCAAUUGGUGGUGGAACGCCGAACGCUAGAUUCUCAUGGAGGAAAGCAACGUCGGCCAUGGAAAAGAUGAAUCAACCAAGGGCUUUGGAAACCAACUAAGAUAAAACACUGGUUUGAUUAUAUAUAUAUAUUGAGGAAACAAAGUAUUGUUCGUUGCUUGGGGUUUGGAACUGCUUAAAAAAUCAUAUGCAUGAGAGGUUAAAUCUAGAUGGUGACAAACCUUCUGCUACAAUGUAAGCAACAGCUAGUGGACACUCGGAUGGUCUGUUUUUACUAUGUGGUGGAAGAGACGCCUCUGGCACGGUAUGGGUUAUCAUUUAAAUAUACACUUAGCAAUAUUAUUGAUUACUCUUAGAUAUUCAAAAUUAUAGUUUCAACCUUUAAGAUAUGAAGUUGUGCUCUAAGAUAUCAACUGCUUGCUCUAACUACUAAUAAGCGGUACUGAAAAAGCCACAUAAUCUUUGGUUGAAUAGCUUAAACCAGCGUUAAAAGAGGUUGAAUACAAUGAGUUGGUUGAUGUCGCACCAGUAAGCGCAAGAAGAAAUAUGAUAUGGGAAUAUGAUUGCUAAGAGAGAAUUAACAUGGGGAUCAUUACACAUGAAGAUUGCAAAAGAAAUUCAUGAAGGCAAUGAAGUCUUGAGUUUUUAUUAUAACAUUUGUUAGUUUUAUUCAAACAUUAGAGUUAGUUUGCUACUUAUUAGACAUUAGUUUGUAAACGUUUGAAUGUUCGGAAGACGAUCUAACUUUUAUUUGAACUAAUGAUGUUAUGA